CAAGCAUUACUUGUUACGGUCUUUAAUCUUACGUGCAUGAUAACCAGUCUCAUACUUUGACAAAAAUUAGUUAAAAUCUCAUUGAACUAUAGUCCAGAAAUACUAAACUACUCUGCAAUAGUAAUGUCAAAGUUAUUUUUAAUAAUAGUAUUGAUCGCUUUGUUUGAAAUCGCUGCAGGUGCUUUAGAAGAUGGCGAACCAUGUAUCUUACCAUGGCGAGCUUGCUUUCCAUACGCCCGUUACGAUCCGUAUCGAUGCACAAGAAUGAAUGGUGGCGAAAUUUGCUUCUAAUCAUUACCAAUUUGUUCUUUAUAAUAAUCGCAAUUUGGAAAUUUCAGUAAGAAUAAAAUUUCUUCAAUUUCAAA